rnacentral:misc_RNA from 1 species
GUGGGAGCCAGCCUGCUGGCGAUUGCGGUGUGUCAUUCAGCAUAUUCGUUGCCUGAUACACCGCAAUCGCCAGCAGGCUGGCUCCCAC